rnacentral:rRNA from 1 species
AGCGAACGCUGGCGGCAGGCUUAACACAUGCAAGUCGAGCGGGCGUAGCAAUACGUCAGCGGCAGACGGGUGAGUAACGCGUGGGAACGUACCUUUUGGUUCGGAACAACACAGGGAAACUUGUGCUAAUACCGGAUAAGCCCUUACGGGGAAAGACUUAUCGCCGAAAGAUCGGCCCGCGUCUGAUUAGCUAGUUGGUGAGGUAACGGCUCACCAAGGCGACGAUCAGUAGCUGGUCUGAGAGGAUGAUCAGCCACAUUGGGACUGAGACACGGCCCAAACUCCUACGGGAGGCAGCAGUGGGGAAUAUUGGACAAUGGGCGCAAGCCUGAUCCAGCCAUGCCGCGUGAGUGAUGAAGGCCCUAGGGUUGUAAAGCUCUUUUGUGCGGGAAGAUAAUGACGGUACCGCAAGAAUAAGCCCCGGCUAACUUCGUGCCAGCAGCCGCGGUAAU